UUCAAGUAAUCCAGGAUAGGCUGUGUAGCUUCUGGUUGGCCUAUUCUUGAUUGCUUGCACU
rnacentral:pre_miRNA from 1 species